rnacentral:rRNA from 1 species
UACGGAGGAUGCGAGCCGUUAUCCGGAUUUAUUGGGUUUAAAGGGUGCGUAGGCGGCCAUUUAAGUCAGCGGUGAAAUUUUGCAGCUUAACUGUAACAGUGCCGUUGAUACUGUUUGGCUAGGAUUUGGUUGUAGUGUGCGGAAUGUGUGGUGUAGCGGUGAAAUGCUUAGAUAUCACACAGAACACCGAUUGCGAAGGCAGCACACUAAGUCAUUAUUGACGCUGAGGCACGAAAGUGUGGGGAUCAAACAGGAUUA